rnacentral:lncRNA from 1 species
UGGUCAUCGAAGAAUCAUAGGAUUUUUUAGUAUACCAUUGGACGUUUCCUGAUCAUUCUUUUGGGAUUUGAGAAGCCAAAGUACCUCAAGAGGUAGUCCUAUCAACGACGCCAUCAGCUCAACAGUUACAACAACAUCCAAUAAUAACAACAGAUAAGAUAAUGCCAAAUAACAACUACACACAAGAUAGACAUCAGGCUGAACUGUUAAAUCUAAUCAUGAAAAUUUAACAAUGAAACCAGCUUUAGCAUGAUACUAGCAGCCCGAAACAAAAUCCAAACACGUGACUUUAGUGUGAAAAACCAGCUUAUUCAAGACAUCAUUGGCCCAACACUUACUAAAACAUGAACCUUUGACGUAAAAUCAAUUAUAACAAGACCCCAUUAACCCGAAAACCACUAAAGCAUGUAACUUCAAACCAUGAAAUCAACCAUAACAACAUAUCAUCAACCAAAAUUCGCAACGCAUGGGAUUUGAGCAAGAUCAGCUAUACGGACUUUAAACAGUACACAAAAAGUGAGAGUAUAAAAUCAAAAAAUCUACCAACAACUACCUAUGGAUAUCAAAUCCAUCUACCAACAAACAAUUCCAACAUACAAUGUUACUAAAAAAUUUAUUCACGACUAUGAAAGAUUGAGAUGAAGCAGAAGAGAUCGAAACUUGAACGGAAAAGGAUAUUACCUAUUCAGGAGCAGCAAAAUGAGACGACGAACUGGUUACAGAGAUCAUGACCACCAGAAAACUUCUUCACCGUCAACUCAAAACAUUAAUUUAGCCUACCAACUUUCAAAACAAGGACAAAAUUCCUACUCCAGACUCAAUUUUCUCAAAAAUUUCUUUCUCUUUAUCUUUCUUCCUUGGAUUUUUCUGAAUCCAAAAAUUCUAACUUAGCUUUUCUAAAUAAUUCCCCUCUUCCAGACCCAAGAUUUUGAACCCUAACAACAGUGACCCAGAAGAAAAACCAUCCUUUUUUUUCUUGCUCUAAAGAGAGCUAUUUAUAGAAAGGGGGAUUAAGGGUUCAUUUUUUGAAUUCAAAAUAUGAGAAUGCUAACAAAUUGUACCCCUUAUUGGAUUUCUCCCCCCCAAAUUCGGAAUAAGUAUCCAAUAGGAAUGAGGAGACCAGAAUUAUUUCAUGAACCAAUCAAAUUUUGCCAAACAUGUACGAAAAUCAUACCAUUAUCCUGAGAUUCACAGAUUUUAGCCGUUGAGGGUGACACCUAGCUUGUUCUAGAAGAUUUUUAAAUCCUUUUCUUGUCCUACGGAUGCGUGAGAUGUGCCUGAAGAAAAAUAGAUGGGUUGGGGCUGAUGGAAUCGGGUUUUCGCUGAUGUCGUUGGAGCCGAUGGGAUCGGGUAUUUAGAGUUGGUUGGUGUUGGUUUCUCAAUGUUUGGAAGCUGUUGUACGUGUAUAUUUGCUGUUCUGUAUCCUGAAGAAAGGAAAAAGGGAUGGACC